rnacentral:lncRNA from 10 species
GAACCUUGACAUUAGUUUCACCUCUCCUCUGGGGCUGAGAGAUGGGAAAGAAGCGUCAAGAACUUGAACAGAAAUCCAGCUCUCAGUACAUUGCAGUAAGAUGACUGGCAGUUUCUGAAUAAAGUGGACAACUGAAGGUCUGUGUCCACACAGAGUCAGGUAAGAGACCCUGAUUUUUAAAAAGUCUCCCAUCUACCUCUCUACUUGUUUGGAAUACUAACUGGAUGAUACCAAAUUCAAGCUGUUGCUACUGAAUAAACAUGGGAAGUACAGGCUCUAAAAUCUCAUCAAGAUCACCAUUAGGUUCAUGGUAGAAAAAUAUGGGAUGCCAGGAAUGUUGCCUGUAGGUCUCUCUUGAAUGGCUAACAUAUCUCUCACACAUUUGGAAUGGAUAUACACAUCAGAUCCUAGUCCUGCAGUGGCCUAGGGAUAGCUCUUUUGAUUUGGAUAAAUUACCGCAUUUGCAGAAGUUCUCGGAAGGGCUUUAUGUCAAGCAAAUGAGUUACUGGUAUUUGUGGGAUGAAUAUUAUUCUAAGAGGAAACUUAAAAGUGAUUUAGAUAACCAGAGAGAAAGACUGAAAAAAAAAACAAUAGAACAGGAAAUACAAAAAUUAAGAGCACUUUCUCCUUCACAGAAACCUCCUCCUCCAUUGCUUAUUCUUGUUCCCUCUGUUCCUGCUGCCUCACUUUAUCCCUCCUUGUCUCAGACUCCUGGAAAGGGAUGUGUGAUGAGCUUUUAGACAAGGGGUUUUCCUGUUUAGGGGGUUCCAUGAGAAGAGAAAAAAGGAUGUCACUUUUCCAGCUGUAAAUGAGUUACCUGCCCUGCUUGAGGACGUAGAAUUGACUGCCCCCUGGCCUAUCCCCAAGUCCACUUCUUGCCUUAGACCAGAUUUCACCUCCAGGGAUCUCUUCUCAUCCACACACCAUUUAGCUAGAAAGGUGAAAAAGAUGAAGAUAAAUAAUCAAUAUCCUGGAAUAAUUGAGAACUCAGAUAAGAGACUGUGUCCCUGUAUGAAGGCAGCAGGAUGGAGAGUUACUUGGAAAAAGACAAACAAAAAGAUAUUAGGUUCAUAAACACCAGUAUGGAAAAACAAACCAAGGUGCCAUAUAAUCCUCCCUUUUUCCUAUUUUAAUGCAUAGAAAACCAGCCCUUUUUACUCAGAUCACCAGCAAAUCUGAGGCCACCGAGAAGCUCCCCAGGCCCCUUGGGCGCAAAGGAAACAUUAAGCAUCUAUGUGCUCUUCUCCCCUGCCGAUAUCAUCCAUCUGAAGGAUUUUUCCCGUACCCUGGGAAGAUACACAAAAGUUUGCAGAAAUGCUCCACAGCUUGUUUUUAGUUUACAGCCCUGCACAUAGGGAUGUGCACUGACUCUUGUGGGUAAUCCUGCAACCAGCCCAUUUUGCUUGUUUGAGGACCUGGAGAUGAUCCACCACCUAAGGUGGCACUGUGACCAGAGGAAAUUGAUUACCACUCCCCUACAACUACGGAACUGAGCACGUUAGAGAUCCAUCCAGAGCGAUUGCUAGAAGCAAUCCACUAAAGGUAAGCUGGGAGAAGUUGCAAUGGUGUACCUAGAAGAAGAAUGAGUCCUCCAUUGAUUUCCAGCAGCAGUUUUUGGAGGCUUUCUCAGAAUUUACUAGCAUGGACCCAGGAGGAGAUAAAAUCACUCCCUAAUCUUGGCAACCUUUACCUCUGCUCUCUUGCUGACUAACCAAGCCCAAAUUAAGCAAAAGGUGUUAGGAUAGCAAGGACAGACUAUUAUUCAAAUCCUAGCAGCAGCCACUACUCAGUUUAGGGUUAAGACAAAGAAGAAAAGCAGAGAUUAAAGACUGCUGUGUUGGCUACUCAGUGAGAAUUAUUACUAAGGAGGAUAAUCCCUAUACCGGGCAAAGUAUAAAUAUAGCAAAGGAACAGGAGAAAACUGAAUGUUAUUAUUGCAAAAUACCAGGACAUUGGAAGGACUAUAGAAAGAGACUCGGGAGGAUACCAAAAUUGCAGAGACAGGAGAGUCAGGAAAGCCUAGAAAGAUGAAACCCUCAACUAGGAAAUAGUUGGCAAAUGGCUCAAAAUUGACAGAUUGGGGGUAUCUCAGAGGUGGGAAGUGGUAAACCAUCUAUGUCAAGGACUUUUACUGAACCCCAUCCAUCCUUGGCUUUUCUGGUAGAUAUUGGUGCUACUUAUUCUGCAGUUUCCUCAGAAAAUUCCUGCUUUCCAUCUGGCAACUGAUUAGUACAAGUUGUUGGUACUUUGGAUCAGCCUCCAUUUAUUCCUUUUUCUCUUGGAUUCCCAAACAGACAGGUGCUCUUACUGAGGUACCUUCAUUCUGACUUUCUCCUGUAUCUCCUAUAAACCUAUUGGUGAGAGACCUACUCUGCAAAUUAAAGGCUACUAUAUUUUGUACUCCAGAUAGCCUAUUGGUGAAGCUCCUUGAACAAAAGAGCACCUGAGAUGGUUACUAUGUUCCUCAUAGAAGAAAAGGGACCAGGCAUGGUGGCUCAUGCCUGUAAUCCCAGCAUUUUGGGAGGCUGAGGCAGGAGGAUCAGGAAGAUCACUUGAGCCCAG